CAGCAGCCACGGGAAUACGUAGGGUGCAAGCGUUAAUCGGAAUUACUGGGCGUAAAGCGUGCGCAGGCGGUUUGUUAAGACAGAUGUGAAAUCCCCGGGCUCAACCUGGGAACUGCAUUUGUGACUGGCAGGCUAGAGUAUGGCAGAGGGGGGUGGAAUUCCGCGUGUAGCAGUGAAAUGCGUAGAUAUGCGGAGGAACACCGAUGGCGAAGGCAGCCCCCUGGGCCAAUACUGACGCUCAUGCACGAAAGCGUGGGGAGCAAACAGGAUUAGAGACCCCAGUAGUCCCUGUCUCUUAUAC
rnacentral:rRNA from 1 species